rnacentral:rRNA from 1 species
GAUGAACGCUAGCGGGAGGCUUAACACAUGCAAGUCGAGGGGCAUCACGAGGUAGCAAUACUUUGGUGGCGACCGGCGCACGGGUGAGUAACACGUAUGCAACCUACCCUGUACAGGGGGAUAACCCGGAGAAAUUCGGACUAAUAUCCCAUGCAAUUAUUGGAGGGCAUCCUUUGAUAAUUAAAGCUCAGGCGGUAUAGGAUGGGCAUGCGGAACAUUAGCUAGUUGGUAGGGUAACGGCCUACCAAGGCUACGAUGUUUAGGGGACCUGAGAGGGUUAUCCCCCACACUGGUACUGAGACACGGACCAGACUCCUACGGGAGGCAGCAGUGAGGAAUAUUGGUCAAUGGGCGCAAGCCUGAACCAGCCAUCCCGCGUGAAGGAAGAAGGCCCUAUGGGUUGUAAACUUCUUUUCCAGGGGUGAAUAAUUCCGAUGUAUCGGGAGAUGACGGUACCCUGGGAAUAAGCAUCGGCUAACUCCGUGCCAGCAGCCGCGGUAAUCGUAGCGUG